CAGCAGCCGCGGUAAUACGUAGGGUGCAAGCGUUAAUCGGAAUUACUGGGCGUAAAGCGUGCGCAGGCGGUUUGUUAAGACAGAUGUGAAAUCCCCGGGCUCAACCUGGGAACUGCAUUUGUGACUGGCAAGCUAGAGUGUGACAGAGGGGGGUGGAAUUCCGCGUGUAGCAGUGAAAUGCGUAGAUAUGCGGAGGAACACCGAUGGCGAAGGCAGCCCCCUGGGCCAACACUGACGCUCAUGCGCGAAAGCGUGGGGAGCAAGCAGGAUUAGAUACCCCGGUAGUCCCUGUCUCUUAUAC
rnacentral:rRNA from 1 species